AGAGAAAGCCAUUUUCUCUUAUCCUUUCUCUUUCUUCUUCUUCUUUCCUCUUCUCCGUUCUUCUUCCUGUGUUCUUCAUCUGUGAGAGUUCGAGUGAGGAAAUUGAUAGUUGGCUUGAGAGAGAGAGACGAUCGAUGAUUUAGAGCAGAUGAUUUAGAGCAGAUGAUGAUGAAGAGAUAAGGGUGGUGUUGAGGUUUGUUAACUCUGAAGAAGAAUAAGAAGAUUAAGUUGCUGCUGUAAAUCGGACGUAGGGUUUCUGAAGUUAGGAUUUGUGUCGAAUUGAGAGGUGAAUCGGGUUUCUGUUGGAUGAAGAACAAUAGGGUUGUAGCGGAAUUGAAGUUCUGAAGUAGUUUGAAGAUGAAUCAAGAGUUAGGUUCUCUGUUAUUUGAUUUGGGUUUGAUUUGAGAUAGCAAUUGAAGAUGGGUUUCAAGGGAUUGGGUAAAAGAAGAAGAUUGUUACGUUAAUUUGAAGAUUAGGUUUCGGAGAAGAAGAUUAAUUUGAAAAUUAGGGUUCUGCAUGUUGUAUUGGAAUUCGAAUUGGUUAAGAUUGAGAAGAUUUAGAUAGAGUUUUAGGAUGGGUUUGUUUAAUUGAAGCUUCUGAAGUUGUUGUGGUGAUAAAUUGAGAAGAAGGGUUUAUGUUGAAAGGAAUUAAGAUUCUUAAUAGAACAGAGAUUUAGAGUUCAUGGGUUUGGAUUGCUGAUGGAAGAGAUGAGACUAAUGGUGCGUAACUAGACGAAAAAGAAGACUUCUGUGUUUGUUGUUGAGGUAAUAUCUUCUGACUGGAUUUAAGGUUGUUAUAUUUGUCGAAGCAUGGAUCUAAUUGAUGUCUGUGAAAUUUGGAUAUUGAACUGUGAUUUGAAGAUUAAUAUUGAGUUAAUUAAACUGAAGUAAGAAGUUUUAAUGGACGAAUUGAGAGUCUUAUGCAGUAGCAGUUUAGCAGUGUUGGUAGUUUGAGAUGAUGGUUGUUUGUGUGAGAGAUUGCAGGUGUUGUAAAUAGAGUUGGAGGUGCAAGAGAGUUGUUUGUGUAGUUGCAGGUAAAACUCUAAUGGUGGUGGUGAUAUGUGGUUGAGAUUGUGGCCUGAGUUAGAAUGAAUGCAGGGAAUGGCUGAGUUCAUUGAAUUGGAUUGAUAUGUUUUAGAUGGAUGUGGUGGUGGAUAUGUCUAGUGGUGCAAGUAGUAUACACAGGACAGAUAAGAACUUAUAGGAAUGGUUAUAUGUGUUGUGAAGAACUGGGAGUUAGAUUCAGUUGGAGAUGAAGAAGAUGAAUGCUGUGAGAUUGUGUUGAUGAUGAUAUAUGGAACUGUUAAUGUUUGGAUUGCAGUUGAGGAUGAACUUGAGGGCAAGGAUGUAAUGGUAUUAGGAUUGAGGUUCAAUAGGUUAGAUAUGGUUAUGAAACUGAACUGGCAGUGUGAUGGGAGACAUGAAAUGGAGGAAAUGACAUGGCAUUUCAGUUAGUGAAUGAAGGUCAUGAGCUACCUGAAGUGAUAUUGGUGAUUUGUUGAGUUUCAGGUGGGGUGUACAGAGUGUUCUUGUUUUGGUAGUGGUGAUGCUGAUCAGUUCAUGGAGUGGGCAGUGUCACUGGAAUGGGUGCUUGUAGUUUGAUUGCAAAUGAUUUAGUAGUAUUAAAUGAGAUGUUGUGACUGAAGUUAUAAAAGAGGAUUGGAUGAGUGUUUGGAGUUGAAUCUCUCUUAUAGAAGCUGGGAACUGCUGAAUUGCAGGGCACCCCUUUUAGGGAUGAUGUGCUCACCCAUUCCCAAUUUCAGUUUCAGAGACAGAUCAGAGUUGCGCAGCGGAAGCUUCGAAGAGUUGGUUUCAUUAGUUGGAUAACUUUUACUAUGUUUAUUAUAUUGCAUAUUGUAUCUGUAAACCUAAUGAAUAUUGUAUAUGUAUCAUCUGAGAGGAGUUCUUGUAUAUA